GAAAUGUUUUGUGCUGGCAUGCACACCAUGAACCACCAGCUCCAGCCAGGCAAUCAGGGUGGCUCACUCCACACCAGGCACCUUCUGUCUCACCACUUGCAGAGUACCUUUGGUCCCUCUCAGCCUCUGCCAGACCAUACCCGGCAAUAGAACACUUCAAUUCAAAUCCCACGUCACCUUGGUAAUGAUUAGCUAAAGAGCUGCCGCCACCACCCCGAGGUCCUGCUGUGCCCAGCACUGCACAGGGGAAGGGCUGAGCCCAAAGCCCUGAUUCCUCGGUGCCUGGGAUGCUAGGGAAUGCAUCCCCCCAAAAAGGGGGGUGUUCUAGCUCUUUUGCUGCAGUCCAUAAGCAUGUAUCUGUCACCCUCUCAAGACAGAGAGCAGCUCGGUGGAGUAAAGUUCCUGCCUGCCUGUCCUGGAGUGAUCUUUGGUAAUGAGUGAAGGAGGGAGCACCGUCUGGGCCAUAGACACCCUGUGUGUUUCUUGACACAGGUGAAAGCCGGGUGCCCAUCUGGCAUCCCAGCGUUCCUAUGCCUUGAUUCCCCCCUACGGAACGGAGACUGUCCCGGUCCCACAGCAGAUGGACACCGCAAUCCUCCGCGUCCCCGGGUCAGAGAGGGGUGCAGCUUUCUCGGCUUGGAACACCAGCUUUUCCAACCCUUCCUGCCUCACCCGGUGCGGCUCUGGGAAGGACAGCUGAAAGGGGAACACUUUGUGGCUGCGAGUGAUGCCGCACGUUUCGCCAGGGCGUGAGCCCCAAAACCCGCAG
rnacentral:lncRNA from 1 species